UGGUGGAGCGAUUUGUCUGGUUUAUUCCGUUAACGAACGAGACCACAACCUGCUAAAUAGUUCUUACUAGGGUUCGCUCUAGUUGAUGUGACUUCUUAGAGGGACUAUCGGUGUUUAGCCGAUGGAAGUUUGUGGCAAUAACA
rnacentral:rRNA from 1 species